CCUGAUGGCUCAGAGGUUAAAGCGUCUACUUCCAAUGCAGGAGGCCCAGGUUCGAUCCCUGGGUCAGGA
rnacentral:tRNA from 1 species